GUCUCUGCUGUUUCUCUCUCGCAUCUCUCUCUACCCUGAAACUUUAACAACCGCCAGACCUCUCCACUUCCCACCACCAAGAAACUCCACCGCAAACAAACCCACGUCUCAAUCUGUGGCACCGGUGAAGCUGUGCAUGUCAACUAUCAAACAAGUGCAGCCCUUUUGCUCCUACUGACUUCCUCAAUUCGCAUUACCAGGAGGGGUGUAAUGUAACAAAGGUCAUGGAUAAAUCAUGGAUUUUCUCUGAUAGAUUAUCAAAUGCAUAUGAAGAAGGCGUGGAAGCCUUUUUAGAGUUUGCCCAAUCUAAUAAUCCAAAAUCAGAUGUUAUUCUGUGUCCUUGUGUAGAUUGUACCAAUUUUCGCUAUCACUCAAUUGACAAUGUGCGUUAUCAUCUGAUUGCCCGCGGU
rnacentral:lncRNA from 1 species